GAUGAACGCUGGCGGCGUGCUUAACACAUGCAAGUCGAACGGAAAGGCCCAAGCUUGCUUGGGUACUCGAGUGGCGAACGGGUGAGUAACACGUGGGUGAUCUGCCCUGCACUUCGGGAUAAGCCUGGGAAACUGGGUCUAAUACCGGAUAGGACGAUGGUUUGGAUGCCAUUGUGGAAAGUUUUUUCGGUGUGGGAUGAGCUCGCGGCCUAUCAGCUUGUUGGUGGGGUAAUGGCCUACCAAGGCGUCGACGGGGAGCCGGCCUGAGAGGGUGUACGGCCACAUUUGGGACGAGAUACAGGCCAGAAUCCUAAGGGAGGGAGCAGGGGGGAAUAUUGCACAAUGGGCGCAAGCCUGAUGCAGCGACGCCGCGUGGGGGAUGACGGCCUUCGGGUUGUAAACUCCUUUCGCUAGGGACGAAGCGUUUUUGUGACGGUACCUGGAGAAGAAGCACCGGCUAACUACGUG
rnacentral:rRNA from 1 species